ensembl:processed_transcript 5530601H04Rik RIKEN cDNA 5530601H04 gene
GGUAGAGUACGGCCUGAGAAUUUUGUUCCAGCACCGGUGUGAGGAAAACAUCUGAGCCCAUGAAUUGCCAGACCCUGGAUACCUGAGACACAUCCACUUGCUUCUCAGGUUUGGAGUGCAUAAUGAGGAGAAAUAAACACAGAAAGAUCUCCAGAAAGAAGCCAUGGUAAGAUUCAAGGUUUCACAGUCCAAGCUAAUGCCUGUGGACACUUGACCAAGUGAUCUGAGAAAAUUGGAUUCCUGGCAAAACAAGUGUACCUAGACUCAGGCAAGGGUGGAGAACAGAGGGCGUCUAGAUUAAAUGGAAAGAAUGCCCAGGCAUCCCAUUGCCUCCCUUUGAUGUUCCAGAACUUCGUCAAGACAGUGAUGAGCUACAUGUACACCUGGAGGAGAGUUCAGGAUCAAGCUCAGAAGCGCACAGCUGCCAGCAAGCAGUCUACUACUGAACUGCACCAUCUCUCCAGCCCGUGCUUACUCUUGAAUAGCCCCAAAGUAGUCAAUGGUGUGGGCCCUGAAAGGAACUGUAUACCUGCUGUGCCCCUGACUGCUUCUGCCUCUACCUCAAUGUACCGUGACUGUUUAACAAGGUUGCUCUGGCUCAGGCUGAGAAAUUGACUCCACCCUUACCCUGACGCCUGGCAUGUCCACAUGUGGUCCUGUGUAAUCAGCAACCCCAGAAGUUACAAGAAAUUAAAGACACGGAAUUCCAAAGGACAAUACAUGUUCAACAAGCUCAAACCAUUCAGAGAGGGCACAGAAUGAAAUUAAAGACAACAGGAAUAAAAUGAUGGGAGUCCAAGUAUACAAAAACACAGCUCAGCAAAACAUGGAACAGUAAGACUGUAAAUUCCCAGUUCAGCUAUCGAUAAUUUAGGAUCCUUUGGGCUAUUUGGUACUGGACAACCAAUUGGAGUGUUGUUUGCGGAGGAGGACCACCUCUCCAGGUAGAAUCUAAACAUCAGAAAAUCAACAACCCAGUUAAAAUAAUCUAGAGCACUAACCAGAGCGUUCUUAGAAGAAGCACUACAAACGGCUAAGAAACACGAGACUGCUCAACAUCCUUUGCCAUCAGGGAAACACAGAAGCUCACUUUUCAGUUUUCAUCUUUCUGUAGUCAAAAUGGUCAUCGUCAAGAAUGCCAGUGACAUGGAUGUAGAGGACAGAUUCCUUCAUUGUCUAAGUCUCUGGAAAUAUUGCAGAAGAGUAGUCAGGGACUAAAAGAUGGAAGACAGAAAGGGCUGCAAAGUUCCAUCCUAGAGACUCAAUACAGCCAUUGCAAUGAUGAACUCACAAAAACUGCAUUUACCUGAACUUAGCCUGCUCAAGACAUUGAAAGUGUUUCAAAGUAGCUUUUCCUGUUGUGAAUGUACCUCUCAGCUAGUCUGGUUUCUGGUUCAGAGCUCUUAGGCACAGAGUUGUCUUGAACAUUUGCUUACAGGCACUUGUGUAGAUAUCAGCUGCUUUUUUUUGUUAAAUCUCUGAAAUAAAUGCCUAGGCGUUCAAUGGCAAUGUUAUAUCCGUAUGUAUUUAGCUUAGUUUUAAAAUAAGAAACUGUCAAAUACUUUUGUAGAAUUACUGGACCAUUUUACACCCCUGCCAACAAAGUAAGAUUGAUCCAGCUCCCCACAUUCUCAUAAACAUUUGUUUUUGUUUCUUUAAGAAGACAAGUUAACCAUUCCAUUUAUUGAGAAUUUACUUACCAUUCAGUGCAUUGCUUAGAUAUGUAGUAUUCAGUUUUUAGUACACAUACAAGGUUGUAUAUCAAUUACUACUAAUUCCAGAACAUUUCCAUUACCAUAGAAAAAGAAACCCAAUAUUCAUUUUCAUCUCUCCUCUAUGGACUUACCUAAUCUAGAUAUACCAAAUAAAUGGAAUUUUU